rnacentral:rRNA from 1 species
UGCCGGCGACCGGCGCACGGGUGAGUAACACGUAUGCGACCUGCCCCCGCAGGGGGAUAACCGGGAGAAAUCCCGACUAAUACCGCGUAACGCCGCGGACCUGCAUGGGUCUGCGGCCAAAGGAAGCGAUUCCGGCGGGGGAUGGGCAUGCGGCGCAUUAGCUAGUCGGCGGGGUAACGGCCCACCGAGGCGACGAUGCGUAGGGGUUCUGAGAGGAAGGUCCCCCACACUGGUACUGAGACACGGACCAGACUCCUACGGAAGGCAGCAG